rnacentral:rRNA from 1 species
AGUAACGCGUGGGUAACCUGCCUCACACAGGGGGAUAACAGUUAGAAAUGACUGCUAAUACCGCAUAACCCGAUAGGAUCGCAUGAUCCAGACGGAAAAGAUUUAUCGGUGUGAGAUGGACCCGCGUCUGAUUAGCUAGUUGGUGAGGUAACGGCCCACCAAGGCAACGAUCAGUAGCCGGCCUGAGAGGGUGAACGGCCACAUUGGGACUGAGACACGGCCCAA